GAUGAACGCUGGCGGCGUGCCUAAUACAUGCAAGUCGAGCGAACAGACGAGGAGCUUGCUCCUCUGACGUUAGCGGCGGACGGGUGAGUAACACGUGGAUAACCUACCUAUAAGACUGGGAUAACUUCGGGAAACCGGAGCUAAUACCGGAUAACAUGUUGAACCGCAUGGUUCAACAGUGAAAGACGGUCUUGCUGUCACUUAUAGAUGGAUCCGCGCCGCAUUAGCUAGUUGGUAAGGUAACGGCUUACCAAGGCAACGAUGCGUAGCCGACCUGAGAGGGUGAUGGGCCACACUGGAACUGAGACACGGUCCAGACUCCUACGGGAGGCAGCAGUAGGGAAUCUUCCGCAAUGGGCGAAAGCCUGACGGAGCAACGCCGCGUGAGUGAAGAAGGUCUUCGGAUCGUAAAACUCUGUUAUUAGGGAAGAGCAAAUGUGUAAGUAACUAUGCACGUCUUGACGGUACCUAAUCAGAAAGCCACGGCUAACUACGCG
rnacentral:rRNA from 1 species